AUGUUAUUGGACUUCUGUGCUAGGCACAGUUUGGCCAUAACAAACACCAUGUUCGAACAUAAGGGUGUCCAUCGGUGCACAUGGCAUCAGGACACCCUAGGCCGGAGGUUGAUGAUAGACUUUGUAGUCAUUUCACCUGACCUUCGGCCAUGUGUUUUGGACACUCGGGUGAAGAGAGGGGCUGAACUGUCAACUGAUCACCACCUGGUGGUGAGUAGGAUCCGCUGGCAGAGAAGGAGGCUGGAACGACUUGGCAGGCCCAAACGUAUUGUGAGGGCCUGUUGGGAACGCCUGGCUGAACCCUCUGUCAGACGGACCUUUAACUCACACAUCCGGGAGAGCUUUGACCAGAUUCCGAGGGAGGUGGGAGACAUAGAGUCAGAGUGGACCAUGUUCUCCGUCUCCAUCGUCAACGCGGCCGUUCGGAGCUGUGGACACAGGGUCUCCGGUGCCUGUCGUGGUGGUAAUCCCCGAACCCGGUGGUGGACGCUGGAGGUAAGGGACGCCAUCAAGCUGAAGAAAGAGUCCUACCAGGUAUGGUUGACCUGUGGGACUCCUGAGGCAGCUGAUGUGUACCGGCAGGCCAAGCGUGCUGCAGCCCGUGCCGUUGCGGAGGCAAAAACUCGGGCUUGGGAGGAGUUCGGGGAGGCCAUGGAGGAGGACUAUCGCUCGGCCUCAAAGAGAUUCUGGCAAACCGUUCGGCGCCUCAGGAGGGGAAAGCAGUUCUUUACCAACUCUGUUUUCAGUGAAGGCAGGGAGCUGUUGACCUCAACUGGGGAUCUUAUCGGACGCUGGAAGGAGUACUUUGAGGAUCUCCUCAACCCCUCUGACAUGCCUUCUGCUGAGGAAGCAGAGGCAGGGGACUCAGAGGCGGACUCGCCCAUCACCCAGGCUGAGGUCACCGAGGUAGUUAGUAAGCUCCUCGGUGGCAGAGCAGCGGGGGUGGAUGAGAUCCGUCCUGAGUACCUCAAGUCUCUGGAUGUUGUGGGGCUGUCUUGGGUGACACGUCUCUGCAACAUCGCGUGGAGGAGGGGGACAGUUCCUCUGGACUGGACAACCGGGGUGGUUGUCCCUCUUUACAAAAAGGGGGACAGGAGAGUGUGUUCCAACUAUAGGGGGAUCACACUUCUCAGCCUCCCUGGGAAAGUCUAUGCCAGGGUACUGGAGAGGAGAAUUCGGUCGAUAGUCGAACCUCGGAUACAGGAGGAACAAUGUGGUUUUCGGCCUGGUCGUGGAACGCUGGACCAGCUUUAUACCCUCAGCAGGGUGCUUGAGGGUUUGUGGGAGUUUGCCCAACCAGUCUACAUGUGCUUUGUGGAUCUGGAGAAGGCAUUCAACCGCGUCCCUCAUGACAUCCUGUUGGGGCUGUUCGGUCUCUGUACAACCGGAGCAGGAGCUUGGUUUGCAUUGCCAGCAAUAAGUCAGACCUGUUCCCGGUGCAUGUUGGACUUCGGCAGGGCUGCCCUUUGUCACCGGUUCUGUUCAUUAUUUUUAUGGACAGAAUUUCUAGGCGCAGCCAGGGGCCGGAGGGGGUCUGGUUUGGGGACCACAGGAUAG
ensembl:lncRNA